rnacentral:rRNA from 1 species
GACGAACGCUGGCGGCGUGCCUAAUACAUGCAAGUCGAGCGAAUCAAUAGGAGCUUGCUCCUGUUGGUUAGCGGCGGACGGGUGAGUAACACGUGGGCAACCUGCCUGUAAGACUGGGAUAACACCGGGAAACCGGUGCUAAUACCGGAUAAUCCUUUUCCUCUCAUGAGGAAAAGCUGAAAGUCGGUUUCGGCUGACACUUACAGAUGGGCCCGCGGCGCAUUAGCUGGUUGGUGAGGUAACGGCUCACCAAGGCGACGAUGCGUAGCCGACCUGAGAGGGUGAUCGGCCACACUGGGACUGAGACACGGACCAGACUCCUACGGGAGGCAGCAGUAGGGAAUCUUCCACAAUGGACGAAAGUCUGAUGGAGCAACGCCGCGUGAGCGAUGAAGGCCUUCGGGUCGUAAAGCUCUGUUGUUAGGGAAGAACAAGUACCGGAGUAACUGCCGGUACCUUGACGGUACCUAGCCAGAAAGCCACGGCUAACUACGUGCCAGCAGCCGCCGCGGUAA